UCUCUCAGCUUACCUUGAAAGCAUUAGCGAGCUUUUUCUGAGUCUUUUUUUCAGAUUGAGGCGUUCUUAACGCGUUUACGUCUCAAAAGAAAGAAAGAACAGAGUCCUAAAGCCUGCUUCUAAUGGCCUCAUUUUUUUCAAUGACCUCAAAUCAGAUGAGACUGCCCGCUGAACUUAAGCAUAUCAAUAAGCGGAGGAAAAGAAACUAACAAGGAUUCCCUCAGUAACGGCGAGUGAAGAGGGAAGAGCUCAGUUUUGAAAUCUGGCAGUCAUUCACUGUCCGAGUCGUAAAUUGAAGAGAGUGUCAUCCACACUGGACCAUGUCUAAAUUGUAAUGAUCCACAGUCCUUUGAUGGAGUAUCAGAGAGGGUAAUAAUCCCGUCUUUAACGUGGACUCCCAGUGUUUAUGUGAUGCAUUCUCUCAGAGUCGAGUAGUUUGGGAAUGCUGCUCUAAUGGGAGGUAAACUCCUUCUAAAGCUAAAUAUUGGCGAGAGACCGAUAGCGAACAAGUACCGUGAGGGAAAGAUGAAAAGAACUCUGAAAAGAGAGUCAAACAGAACGUGAAAUUGCUGAAAGGGACGCGUUUGGAGUCAGAUGCGUCUUCAUGGAAUAACGACUCAGUUAGCAGAGACUGAGGUCAGUGACUUGAAGAUGGGCCAGCACUCACGUAGACCAUUGAAAAAGGGGUCAUUGGAAUGUAGCUCAAUUUA
rnacentral:rRNA from 1 species